AGUUGGUUUUAGAUUUUGAAAGUUGGUUAGUCAGUUAGAGAACGCCGAUCGUAAAGAUAGUCACAUUGACUCACAGCGGAGCUCAUGCUGAUGACUUCACGCAGAAGAUGACGGGAACAGGAUUCAUGCGCAAAAUUCGGACCGAACGAGCAUCCUAAGAUCUCCUAACCAACCUCAUACAGUCUCAGUGCUCAUGUAUUCCUCCAUCAUUCACCACAGUGCCUCGCUGGCGUGCACAGACUGUGGCUCUUUCAAGUACUUAGACCCCCUAGUUUUGCCCGAAAGUCCACGAAACCACAGGGGGCGCGGAUAAUUAACGUUGUUUUGCUAACUCAAGGGAGGAAGGCAAUGAGUUUUUUGGGAGGGUUACGUUGGAGAAAUUGCAAGUAAAAGGAGUGCCCAUUCCAUAAAAGCCCAGUACAGGGAGUGUGUACUAGUACAAAAUUACCAGCAGGACAGGAAUACAAAAACGUCUUCGGUUUAACACAAUUCAGUUUUAUUCGUGUUCCAGUGCAUCAAUCUCUGUACUGGAUUAUUAUCCAGAAAAACGAUUCUGAGACUAUUAUGUUUUAAUCUUGAUAAAAUUCCAUAACCAGUUGUUGCAUUCGUCAUGACGACGAUCACUUAACGGUCUUGAUAUUGUGAUUCAAGGCUGCACAUGUGAAGGCGUGAUAGUAAGUUGUCUUCAUGACAUCAUGUGCACAAGCCAGCAUUGCUUGCAUGUUAAGUAUCAACCCAGGGCAGGGCUCAACUUGCCGUGUUGACUCUUGGAGGGCGUCCUUCAAUGUAACCUUCUGCUUUGCCCACACAAAGGUUCAGUUACAAGCAAAAGACUAUA